rnacentral:rRNA from 1 species
UACGUAGGGUGCGAGCGUUGUCCGGAAUUAUUGGGCGUAAAGGGCUCGUAGGCGGUCUGUUGCGUCGGGAGUGAAAACUCAGGGCUUAACCCUGAGCCUGCUUCCGAUACGGGCAGACUAGAGGUAUGCAGGGGAGAACGGAAUUCCUGGUGUAGCGGUGGAAUGCGCAGAUAUCAGGAGGAACACCGGUGGCGAAGGCGGUUCUCUGGGCCGAUACUGACGCUGAGGAGCGAAAGCGUGGGGAGCGAACAGG